rnacentral:rRNA from 1 species
CCUACGGGAGGCAGCAGUGGGGAAUUUUGGACAAUGGACGCAAGUCUGAUCCAGCCAUGCCGCGUGCGGGAAGAAGGCCUUCGGGUUGUAAACCGCUUUUGUCAGGGAAGAAACGGGUUUCUCUAAUACAGAGACCUAAUGACGGUACCUGAAGAAUAAGCACCGGCUAACUACGUGCCAGCAGCCGCGGUAAUACGUAGGGUGCAAGCGUUAAUCGGAAUUACUGGGCGUAAAGCGUGCGCAGGCGGUUAUGCAAGACAGAGGUGAAAUCCCCGGGCUCAACCUGGGAACUGCCUUUGUGACUGCAUAGCUAGAGUACGGUAGAGGGGGUAUGGAAUUCCGCGUGUAGCAGUGAAAUGCGUAGAUAUGCGGAGGAACACCGAUGGCGAAGGCAAUCCCCUGGACCUGUACUGACGCUCAUGCACGAAAGCGUGGGGAGCAAACAGGAUUAGAUACCCUGGUAGUCCACGCCCUAAACGAUGUCACUGGUUGUUGGGUAGGUUUACUUCUCUAGUAACGAACGACUACGCGUGUAGUAGCGCCGUGGUAGGUACGGCGCGAGUAGAACGACGAANAGAGUAGACGGCGUGAGACGUGCGACGGACGACGACGAGGGAGGAGG